CCUCUGCUGGCCGCCUCCCUCCAGCGGGACCGCCUGGCCGCUGCUGGCUGACUCCCUCCCACCAGGCUGCCGCCGCUCCCGGCCGACUCCCUCUGGCUGGGCCACUGCCGCUGCUGCCGGCCAACUCCCUCCAGCGGGGCCACUGGCAGUUGCUGGCCGCCUCCCUCUGGCCGGGCCGCCUGGCCGCUGCUGGCUGACUCCCUUUGACCGGGCCGCCGCCGUUGCCGCUGCUGGCCAACACCGUCCUGCCUGGCCAUAGCUGCUGCUGCUGCUGGCCGACUCCCCUCCUGCCGGGCCACCGCCACCGCUGCUGACUGACACCAUCCUGCCGGGCCGCGGCUGCCUCUUCUGGUCCCUCUGACUGGGCCGUGGCCUCUGCUGGCUGACUCCCGCCAGCCGCACCAACGCCUCUGCUGACUCCCUCCGGCCGCUGGUCACUCUUCCCGGAUCCUCACAGGAAGCGCAGUCUUGGCUUCCAUAGGGGCACGCACGCUGGCAGCGUCACUAGCCUCAAGCUGAAGCACCACCCCCUCCUAAAGGGGCCGCAGCUCGGCCUGGCCAGAAUAGCUUCCGGUUGGAUGAGAACAAGUCUACCUGCUCGGAGCUCGCUUAGAGGAGGAGGAGGAGGAGGAGGAGGAGGAGCCGCCCAUUGCCCAUGCUGGAGGCUGGAGUCUGCAGUAUCAGCUCGCCUCCCUGUUGCGGGUAGUGGUGGUGACAGAGACUACAGUGCAGCUGGAAAGGCUUUUCUGGCUUUGCCCACCCAGGUGCUCCAUGCCAGGAGAAGGAAGAGGCAUCUGCUGCAUGCUGGAGGCUGGAGCCUGUGACACCACAGCUCAUCUCACUGUGGUGGGUGGCAGCGAUGGAGACUGCAGAGUGCCGAGAGAUCAGAGCAGGUCCAGGAGUACAUUAGAGAUCUUACAGACUAGGCCUCUCAUCUUUGGACAACCAAGUCCCUAUAUGUCUCCUCUGGACAGCACGGGUGAAAUCUUCUCAGAGACGACAAUCAUCAAAACCUCCUCACCAUGACAGCAAGCAAGGAGGAAGGACCCUAAAGACCGUCGAUGCCCCUUUUCAGCAUGAAGUAGCUACAGAGAAUGAUGUCUGCCCCAUGUCCCAAAAGAUUUCUGGGUCCCAACCACUUGAGGGAGAAUGUAAGAGGAGUAGACAGCCAGAUAUAAGCAGGCACAAGGAGGUGGUAUCCAUGUUGAAAAGAAACCCCCAGAACACCUCUUUGGAUGCUCAGUACUCCAGCUUCAAAAUAUCAGAAUGUUGUUAACUAGAUCAUGAUAAGGACAAAAGGCAAAGGGGAAUUCCUGAGAGCUGAGCAGGCACAAUGAGUACAAAAUUGACUGCUAUACCUUCCCAGGGUGGUGGUAAUAUGCAGUGCCACCAUUAGGUAGGAUUUGUGUUGAUUAAUGUUUCCCAUGCAUGUGCAUUAAGCACAGUAAGGGAGGAUCCCCCGAACUUUGGUGAGAACUGGGCAAAGAAAUAACUGAGGCAACAGAAGAUAACAAUGCAGAGUGUCGUGGGGAUGUUUCCAGCAGGGUCAGCCCCCUCCUCUCUUGGAGUGUGUUUGUACUUUUCCAAUAAAACUUUUCUUUACUUACA
rnacentral:lncRNA from 13 species